CACGAACCGUACGAACGUUAUUCGGAAUUACUGGGCUUAAAGGGUGCGUAGGCGGCCUGGAAGGUGAGGUGUGAAAUCCCUCGGCUCAACCGAGGAAUUGCGCUUCAAACCACUAGGCUUGAGGGAGAUAGAGGUGAGCGGAACUGAUGGUGGAGCGGUGAAAUGCGUUGAUAUCAUCAGGAACACCCGUGGCGAAAGCGGCUCACUGGGUCUUUUCUGACGCUGAGGCACGAAAGCUAGGGGAGCGAACGGG
rnacentral:misc_RNA from 1 species